rnacentral:rRNA from 1 species
AAUCUGCCCAGUCUGGGGAUAACGUAGGGAACUUACGCUAAUACCGCAUGCGCCUUCGGGGGAAAGCCGGGGACCUUCGGGCCUGGCGCGAUUGGAUGAGCCCACGUCGGAUUAGCUAGUUGGCGGGUAAAGGCCCACCAAGGCGACGAUCCGUAGCUGGUCUGAGAGGAUGAUCAGCCACACUGGAACUGAGACACGGUCCAGACUCCUACGGGAGGCAGCAGUAGGGAAUAUUGGACAAUGGGACGCAAGCCUGAUCCAGCCAUGCCGCGUGAGUGAAGAAGGCCCUCGGGUUGUAAAGCUCUUUUGUCCGGAAAGAAAAGCGCCGGGUUAAUACCCUGGUGUCCUGACGGUACCGGAAGAAUAAGCACCGGCUAACUUCGUG